UACGUAGGGUGCAAGCGUUGUCCGGAAUUAUUGGGCGUAAAGAGCUCGUAGGCGGCUUGUCGCGUCGGCUGUGAAAACCUGGGGCUCAACCCCGGGCCUGUAGCCGAUACGGGCAAGCUAGAAUUCGGUAGGGGAGACUGGAAUUCCUGGUGUAGCGGUGAAAUGCGCAGAUAUCAGGAGGAACACCGGUGGCGAAGGCGGGUCUCUGGGUAGUAACUGACGCUGAGGAACGAAAGCGUGGGUAGCGAACAGG
rnacentral:rRNA from 1 species